CACCAGCAGCUAGUGAGUGACAGUCCUCAUUCCACUGAGAGCAGACGCCUUGGAGCAGACGUCUAGCGGCAGACCCAACAUAUUCAGCUCCAGACACCAUCAGUGCAGCAGUUUCACUUCAUCCUUGAAGGAAUCUUUUUGUGCAUUUUCAUUUUCUUUGGAAAUUUUGUACUCGAGCAAAUUGGAUUUUGUUUAUUCAAGGAGUCAAGAGACGACUUUGGAGAAGCAAAUUCAAGGAUAGUUUGAAGUUAGCUCAGUGGAUGAUAUUGUAGCAGAGUACUCAGGAUCAAUACUGUUGGAUUACUUGGAGCUGCACAAAAGAGUCAAAUGCGGUCUCUCUGAUUCUCUAGGUGGUUUCUCUGGGUGAUUUAACGACACAUCUUGCAAGUUAUUUAUUCCGUCGGAAGUUAUUUACAUAUUUUUGUGAUAUAAGACAGUAGAGCAUCAUGGGUAACAAGAGCAGCAGACAGAAGAAGAAGGACAAGGACAAGAAGGAAGAAGCAACAGAGGAGACCAAUCAGAAGGCAGAAGACAAACCAGCUAGUGAUGAAACAGCUACGCAGCCAACAGAAGAUGGCGCCACAAAAACAGACACAGCAGCUGAAGGGGAUGGAGGGGGAACAGCGGAUGGAGGGACAACGGCAAAUAAUGAAGUAAAAGCUGAACAGCCAAACGAUACGGCAGCCACAGAAACCAAAACAGAGGCAGCACCAGCUCCAAGUGAACCGGAGGCACCAAAGGAAGAGCCCAAAUCCGAAGAGCCCAAAUCCGAAGAGCCUCCUGCAAUAGUUCAGGAGGAAUCCAAAGCAGAAACUGCCCCAGUUGUAGAAUCAUCACCGCCACCUGCAGCUGAGCCUGAAAAACCAGCAGCGGAGAGCUUACCCGAGCCGCCUCCAGAUCCCCCUGUUGAAAAGCCAGCUGAGCCAGAGCCCCCAGCACCAGAACCAGCAACUCCAGAACCUGCACCAGAACCAGCGGCUCCAGAACCCGCUCCAGAACCGGCACCAGAACCGGCCCCGGAGCCCCCAGCAGAGGAUGCCCUACCCCCACCUCCCCCACCAGCGGAGGAGACCCCAGCACCGCCGCCCCCAGUGGAGGAGCCUGCUGCUCCUGAGGCCCCUGCUGCAGUGGACACAUCGGCAGCAGCGUCAGAAACACCAGCAGAGCCUGGAGCCGCCGCGGACAGCGAGAAAACCGAGGGACAGAGUGGAGAGACAUCGGCACCAAGUGCUGACAAUGGCUUGAAGGUGGCGAUAGAGUUCAAGUGGGAGAAUGGCGGAAGCUCGGUCUUGGUGUCUGGAAGCUUCAAUGACUGGAAGGAACAGGUUGCUCUUGAGAAACGGGACGACUUGUUCAUAGGCUCACUGGACCUGCCGACAGGAGAGUAUUUGUACAAGUUCCUGGUGGAUGACCAGUGGCAGAUCAACAAGAACUUGCCAACCAAGGCAGACGCUGAGGGCCAAGAAAACAAUCUGCUGGUUGUGACAGCCGCCAGCUAGACGAUGGAGCGACAAUGGCCGCCGCCACCGCCGCGUGUAUAUUCUAGUACUGUUGUUACUGUACAUGAAACUUGGUACAUAUGUUGGUGCUGUAGUCAUUUGGUGGUCAAUAGGGAUACAUUGGGACUGAUUUGUAAAACACAACAUUGCUAUGAUCACUGGUAAAGGGGGACUCAGCUGGCUGAACAUAUUAGCCAGUUUAUUCCACGUCAUUUGAACACCACUUUGUCUGCUAACUCAAGUUUGAUAUGGAGCUAACAUUCAAUAGUCACCCUAAGAAACAGACAUGCUACAUCAGACUUUGACAGGAAGUGGACACCAGGCUAUGGUGCAUUGUCCUUCUUUAACCAGUAGAUCAUGACUUUCAAAUCCUGUGAAGGGUUUUUCAGAAGUUACGUCAAUGAUGUUUAACAUGCUAUCAUCCUAUAAACAAGUCUCAAUAUAUUUCAAUGCUACUUUGAAAUACUAUCAGUGUUCACAGUCUUCAAAUGAUUUUCUUUUUACAAAAUAUUUGAUUAUUUUUUUCUGUGGGAAUUUCUAGUGAUAUUACACCAAAAACUACUGAUAUUAUAUUGUAUGCUAGUCCAAAAUAGCAACAAUGUUCUCAUGACGUUCUUGUCAUUGAUAUUUAAACAAGGCCAAUGAUUCAGAAUUCAAAAGGUUUAUGUAUUGUUUUAGAUCGUGUAAAUAUUGUGUAAUUAUUUUUCUGUGCGUGAAAACUGUGUUCAGAUCAAGAGGUGAUGCUCUUCUAUGCAAGAUUUGUUACAAUCUGGACAAGACAAUGACGAACGGGAACAGCUGUGAAACACAGAAAAUCCCAUGAUUGAAGUCUUCAACUCUCUUUGAUUAGGAGCCUGUCAACUAUCCAUAUAAAAUACAAUUUUCUAUCGACAAUGCUUAGGUGCAGGCAGACAUUAAGAUACCAAGGCGUAAGGGAGAUAACUCUUACAGUACUAGUCAAGCAGUUGACUAGAUAGGUCUGCUGUAUCAUGCCAUGAAAGAGAUCAUAUCUUGCAUUGUAUGUAAUGGGUAUUUGCAACAUUAACAAGGACCAACUACUGUUUAUCAGUGCUUGAUGCACUACAUCACCAUAAUGGGAACAAAAGUACAGUUAAUUGGAUUUAUUUUCAUGAUAACAUGUGGCAUUGCCAGUUUUCUAUUUUAAAUAAUUUUUUACCAAUAAACUUCACUAUUGUAUGACUAUUUGUAAAUCUUGUAUGAUUGAAGCUAUUUACCAGGUAUUCAUUGGCACAGGCAUGCUGAAAAGGGUUACUCUCUUAUGAAUGAUCACUAGGAUAUUUCAUUUUGUUAAUAUAUAUUUGCAUUUUGUCUUGUUUUCAAAAGUGUUCAUAGUUUAGUUCAUUUGUAGCCUGUUCAUAAGUUUGCUAGCUCACAAUCAAAUUUCAAUGCUCAACAAUGUUUUGAUAAGUUUGCUUUAUUGGUUGUUUUGUUUCUAUUGUUAAUAAUCGACACUGCUCAUUACUGACAGUGCUUAGUGUGUUGGUCAUGGGAUCUAGUCAAUACGAAGCAGGCUGCUCAAUGGUUUAGCCUGGACUUAUGCUUUACCAGCCUUAUACAACACAUUUCUGCAAUUUUAUAUAUUGUCAAUUUGUGAGAUUAUUAUUGCAUGCUUUAUCUUUUGAAUUUGUAGCUUUAAGACAUUUUAUACAGCAGAUUUCACCUGCCAGCACUCAUUAUGCAUAAUAAAUUGCUUGGUGCAAAAAAAGGGUUUGUGGAAUAAAAUAAACAUGCCAUAUUUCAUCAGACAGUAGUCUAUGUGUGUAUUUUUAAUACCAUGGCAACUAUCAAACUUGUUCAAAAAUGUUCAAAUUGACGUCUGUAAGCAAGAAUUAUUAAAUCUGUUCCAAAAAGACUUUUAUCACUAUUUUGUUGAUUUGUUGUAUAUAUUAAGUUGCAAACUUAUUUUGGAGAUGUUGGGGAAAGAUGAACAAGUUUGAUUGUUUUAGGAGACGAGAUUCGGAGUGACAGCUUUAAUUAUCACCACCAAUCACUUGUUUGUAUACAUAUAAAGGUAUUUGUUUGUGCAUCAGUCAUGGUUACUAUGGAUACGGGACCUUUCUCACAAUCACAGGUCAUCCUACAUCAUCAUGUUUCCAUUAUCAAGCCAGUAUACUUUCAUCUUGGUUGAAGGGGCAAUCAAUGUUUUGGGACACUCAUUUCAUUGAGGUGUUUAAGCAUAUUGUUAAUGAGUUAAAGAACCACAUGAUAGAACCAGCGUUUCUAUGUACUAAACAUGUCUUUAAUGGGCUGCAGAGCUUUUCUACAGCGCAUUUCAUAUAAGCUUAUUCUAGUCGUUACUGCAACCUUUUAACUAUGCACUAAAGCCAGUUUGUUGAAUUUGGGUUUUCUUUACCAGUUUUCUGUUUCCCGUUAAUUAGCUGGCCUUCCGAUCAGAAUUCACAAAAUCUAUAUGAAUGGGAGGAGGUUGUGUAUGGUGGCAGAUAUUUUUAAGUGGGUUUUUAUGUUUCAAAUUGAAUUUCAACACAGCUUGAUGCAAAACCAGCUUUUUGUGGGAUAGGAUGCCUAGAGAAGUUAUCCAUUUCAAUUUUUGUAAGUAACGUUCAUAUAUGUAUGGAUUGUUAUGUAUGAAAGUGUAUAUUCAGUGCUCCUGUACUAACUGUGUAUAUUCAUAACCUGGGUCUUUUCAGGGUAGUUCAGAUUGACCAAGUCUUAUGUUGCAUACCUUGAGAUGGGGGGCCGCCAUUUGUUAAACAAAGGGAGCUUACUCUACCCACAUGAGCAUUCGAUCAAGGACCAACUAACUAUUCUGUAAUGGCCCAAGUAAGGAUGUUAGAACCUAGGUGAUGUUUCAAUGAAAUGUCUGGUAAGAUGUUCUAUACAUGUUGGUGAGUCAGUAUCAGUUCAUUAAGCCUUUAAGCUAUAAUUCUGAAAGAUGAGGCUUGAAAAACAAUGUUUGGUAACUUUGAGUUCUGAAAGUCUAUUCCUUACCGACCAUUGAACUUUCAAUAUGGCAAGUCUAUGUGAUUUUUAAUGAAUUUACAGGACAACUGAAUCUUUACAUGUAUUUUCUGAACGAGAUGAUUAAAAAAUAAUAAAUUAUUGCAUAAAUUUUACUCAAACCAGGAAUUGAAAGAUGAGGAUUUCCUCGAGUGAGCAAUUGGUUUGAAUGGUACAAGGAACAUAAUUAUAGAUUGAGUUUCUUUCUAUAUUUGAUCUCGAUGUGUACAUAUGGGUUGGUAGUGAGGAUCUUUUAGUGCAAAUGUGUACAAAUGUAUGCAGGCUUUCUCAGACCAGCACGCUAGUGUGUAUCAGCAGAAGUUGUAGCAGUGUGUAUUGAUGUCUCAUCAUGCAAUUUGAAAAUGGACAAUUUGACAUGGGAACAAGUAUUGAACCAAAAUGUGACACCUUCACCAUAACCGUACUAACACGGUGAACAUUCUUUGAAUAUUGUGUUGAGGACAAUUAUGCAACAUGUUAGCAGCACACUGCCAUGGAAGAGAAAUAUUUCCCCAAAUAUCUGGUUACUUUGAGACAUUUCCAUGAGAACAUUUCCCGGGCAAUACUGUCAGUUCUUGAAAUCAUCUAAAAUCACAGUUUCUCAAGAGUGCUAUUUUUCUAUUUUGUUUGAAAUUGUUCUGUACAAAAUUGAGGCAGCAUACCAUUCUUGUAAAAGUAGAGAUAUCUCAAAGUAGCCAACCUUGGAAUCUUGCCAAAUAAGAAACAGUAUUUUAUAUAGUGUGGCUUAUUUGUAAACAACAGUUUGUCUGACAAUCAAAGAACAUUACGCGUAAAAGCAUAGGUUAACAAAUUUUUAGACAAAUGGUUCUUAUUGUAAGUUUACAUUAAUGUUCUAUACAUAAUCUUAUAGAAAGUGUUUUUGAUACAAUAUAUAGUGUCAGUGUUUCGUCUAUCACAAAGGUGUUGCUUGAUGAUGUUGAAAAACAAUAACUGUACAGUUCAUCUUGCAUGCUUGUCAACCCUUAGAUAUUUGUGUUUUGUUUCAAUUUUUAAAAUACUUUUUGUAAAGAAACUAUUUACUCUGGGAGUAGAGGAGUAGUGACGACCACUUUCGAUUUCUUCAAGGGUUCUAUAUGUGAAGCCCAUAUCUGGCAUCUAAUUGCAGAAAUUAUCACUAACGAGAGGUGUGACACCCAACUCACUGAUGCUCAACAACAUUUAGGUUACUGUAGUAGAUGGUGUUGCAAAUGCUGUACCAAUAUGUCAUAUUAUUUACUGUCAUGCUCAGUAUCAACUCGAGUAGACUAAAUUAGUUAUACCUACCUUCAGAUUAACAGUUGCAUAGGAAGUAUUUUAAUAAUGAUUUGUACCAAUUGUUUCAAUGCCAGAUGGACAGAGUAGCCUUGUAGUUCACUCAAAAAGACCAAUUCUUAUCCUCUGAGGAGACAAUUCUAGGCGCCAUGGUAUCCCAACACACAGACACUGAGCCCAGCAAGAAGGUUUAGGAACCAUAUCCUAACAUACUCUCAUGCUGGGUCCAGCAAGAAGGGUCAGAAGGUUGUCAGUGUUGAGGUAAAAACUAUAUCCUUAUCUCAUCUGUAGGUGUUGAUAGGGGCCUCUGGCUGUAGCACGGUUGACAAGUAUGUUCAGAUUGUUACUCUCAUCAUCCAUCACAGCUUCUGAACUUGUCUAGGACUUUUUGUAUGAACUGUUUUUGCCUCACUCAUCUAUCCUUGUAAGCACUGUAUGUCUGUCUGUCGUAUUAAAGUGAGACACAAA